ensembl:lncRNA LINC00882 long intergenic non-protein coding RNA 882
UUUCGUCCUUAAAUAUUGCCGAUACUUGACCUACGCAAGAGACAAUGUCAUGUGAUUCAGCCUAAUAUCUCAGAGGAUGCAGCAUUCAAGGUUCUAUCUUGGAAGCAGAGACUGUGCCCUCACCAGAUGCUGAACCUGCUGAGCACCCUGAUCUUCCACUUCACCUUCAUCAGAACUGGACGCGCAUGAAAUUUGGUGCCGUGACUCGGAUCGGCGGACCUCCCUUAGGAGAUCAAUCCCCUGUCCUCCUGCUCUUUGCUCCAUGAGAAAGAUCCACCUACGACCUAAGGUCCUCAGACCAACCAGCCCAAGAAACAUCUCACCAAUUUCAAAUCCGGUAAGCAGCCUCUUUUCACUCUCUUCUCCAACCUCCCUCACUAUCCCUCAACCUCUUUCUCCUUCCAAUCUUGGCACCACACUUCAAUCUCUCCCUUCUCUUAAUUUCAAUUCCCUUCAUUUUCUAGUAGAGACAAAGGAGACACGUUUUAUCUGUGGACCCAAAACUCUGGCGCUGGUCGCAGACUGGGAAGGCAGCCUUUCCUUGGUGUUUAAUCAUUGCAAGGAUGCCUCUCUGAUUAUUCACCCACAUUUCAGAGGUGUCAGACCAUGCAAGGACACCUGCCUUGGUCCUUCAUCCUUAGCGGCAAGUCCCGCUUUUCUGGAGGAAGGGCAAGUACCCCAACCCCUUCUCUCUGUGUCUCUACCCCUUCUCUGCUUUUCUGAGGGAGGGGCAAGAACCCCUCAACCCCUUCUCCUUCACCCUUAGUGGCAAGUCCCGCUUUUCUAGGGGGCAAGAACCCCCAAUCCCUUAUUUCCAUGCCCCA